rnacentral:rRNA from 1 species
AUUGAACGCUGGCGACAUGCCUUACACAUGCAAGUCGAACGGCAGCACGGGUGCUUGCACCUGGUGGCGAGUGGCGAACGGGUGAGUAAUACAUCGGAACAUGUCCUGUAGUGGGGGAUAGCCCGGCGAAAGCCGGAUUAAUACCGCAUACGAUCCACGGAUGAAAGCGGGGGACCUUCGGGCCUCGCGCUAUAGGGUUGGCCGAUGGCUGAUUAGCUAGUUGGUGGGGUAAAGGCCUACCAAGGCGACGAUCAGUAGCUGGUCUGAGAGGACGACCAGUCACACUGGGACUGAGACACGGCCCAGACUCCUACGGGAGGCAGCAGUGGGGAAUUUUGGACAAUGGGCGAAAGCCUGAUCCAGCAAUGCCGCGUGUGUGAAGAAGGCCUUCGGGUUGUAAAGCACUUUUGUCCGGAAAGAAAUCCUUGGCCCUAAUACGGUCGGGGGAUGACGGUACCGGAAGAAUAAGCACCGGCUAACUACGU